AGCUGCGCAGUAUGCACAGAGUGAACUAUUCUUUCACCUUUUACUAAAGAAUACCAUGCGCACGCCACACUUAGCAGCAUACGCCAUUUUUUGGAAGGCUCGGCCUUUACAGGCUU